CCUACGGGGGGCAGCAGUGAGGAAUAUUGGUCAAUGGGCGCUAGCCUGAACCAGCCAAGUCGCGUGAAGGAUGACUGCCCUAUGGGCUGUAAACUUCUUUUAUAUGGGAAUAAAGUGCAGUAUGUAAACUGCUUUGCAUGUACCUUAUGAAUAAGGAUAGGCUAACUCCGCGCCAGCAGCCGAGGUAAGGUGGAGGAUCCGAGCGUUAUCCGGAUUUAUUGGGUUUAAAGGGAGCGUAGGCGGGUUGUUAAGUCAGUUGUGAAAGUUUGCGGCUCAACCGUGAAAUUGCAGUUGAUAUUGGCAUCCUGGAGUGCAGUAGAGGUCGGCGGAAUUCGAGGUGUAGCGGUGAAAUGCUUAGAUAUCACGAAGAACACCGAUUGCGAAGGCAGCCUGCUGGCCUGUAACUGACGCUGAUGCUCGAAAGUGUGGGUAUCAAACAGGAUUAGAUACCCGGGUAGUC
rnacentral:rRNA from 1 species